UCGGGAAUAUUGCGCAAUGGAGGAAACUCUGACGCAGUGACGCCGCGUAUAGGAAGAAGGUUUUCGGAUUGUAAACUAUUGUCCACAGGGAAGAUAAAAGACUGUACCUGUGAAGAAAGCUCCGGCUAACUACGUGCCAGCAGCCGCGGUAAUACGUAGGGAGCAAGCGUUAUCCGGAAUUAUUGGGUGUAAAGGGUGCGUAGACGGGAUAACAAGUUAGUUGUGAAAUACCUCGGCUCAACUGGGGAACUGCAACUAAAACUAUUAUUCUUGAGUGCAGGAGAGGAAAGUGGAAUUCCUAGUGUAGCGGUGAAAUGCGUAGAUAUUAGGAAGAACACCGGUGGCGAAGGCGACUUUCUGGACUGUAACUGACGUUGAGGCACGAAAGUGUGGGGAGCAAACAGG
rnacentral:rRNA from 1 species